UGGUGAGGAUACAGUCCAUCAUGGUGGGUU
rnacentral:piRNA from 1 species